UUUUCCACAACAAUAUUAUGAAAAUAUAUUUUAAUUGAGUACCUUCUUAUCUACAAGAUAUAAUUGAGUACCUAAUUGCUCAGAAUACACUUGAAUAUAACCAACAUUUAAAGAGAAACUAUUUAUAGCAUCAUAUCUUUCCACAUACAAAAAAGCCUCAAUGCCGGCUGUCAUCGAUGGGCUAAGAUGACGGACAUUGCAGUGCACCAAAAGACACCUCUGAGACUACCUUGGCUCCCCUUCCCUUGGCCAUGUACAGGCCUAUGUGAUGCAUCAGCUCCUGUGGAUGUGCUAUAACAUCUUUGGCAGCUCUGGCAACAUGAAGUGGCAGGUCAAAGGUUGCACAAGCUUGAGAGAACACAAUCACGUCCUCUAGAGGAGCAAGAAAACCCCUAUUUCUAGCAGAUAGUGCUGAACAAACAAAAUCCAGCACGCAUAUAUCCGUGCAUAUCCCUACUACCAGUAUAAUUUUAAUCUGAUUAUUCUUUAUCCAAUCUACAA
rnacentral:misc_RNA from 1 species